CUGAUCUCCUUGGGGUGCCCAUAAGGCCGGGCUGAGAGGCGCAACGCGUCAACCCACCGAACCUGAACCGGGUCGUGCCGGCGGAGGAAUGCGAGAUGCGAAACGAC
rnacentral:ncRNA from 2 species